rnacentral:rRNA from 1 species
AUUGAACGCUGGCGGCAGGCUUAACACAUGCAAGUCGAGCGGAGCGGCGGACGGGUGAGUAAUGUCUGGGAAACUGCCUGAUGGAGGGGGAUAACUACGCGAAAGCGUAGCUAAUACCGCAUACUAUUGGAGCGGCCGAUAUCGGAUUAGCUAGUUGGUGGGGUAACGGCUCACCAAGGCGACGAUCCGUAGCUGGUUUGAGAGGACGACCAGACACACUGGGACUGAGACACGGCCCAGACGCCUACGGGAGGAAGCAGUGGGGAAUUUUGGACAAUGGGGGAAACCCGGAUCCAGCCAUCCCGCGUGUGCGAUGAAGGCCUGCGGGUUGUAAAGCACUUUCAGCGAGGAGGCGUUACUCGCAGAAGAAGCACCGGCUAACUCCGUGCCAGCAGCCGCGGUAAUUC